rnacentral:lncRNA from 1 species
AAGAUUGAAUACAAUUAUAUGAUGGAAAUAUUGACCAAGUGAAAAUUAGAAGAAAUAAAUUUUUUAAAUAACCUAAGAAGAAAUGAUUUCAAAGCAUGGAAAGAUUUUUUUCUCUUUACCAAAUGAGAUUGGAUGUGUUAAUCUAAAGAUUGUAGUAUUAAUAUUUAUUUUUAUUAUUCCACAUAUAUUAUAGGAUUUGAAGCCAAUUUAUG